rnacentral:lncRNA from 1 species
CAGACUGGAAAAUGAGACUCCUGUUUAUGUAGAAGAGAAUGCAAGAUUCAUUUAUGGACAUGGAAAACACAAUCAAACAUAAUAUGAUGGAAUAGAAGUUAAAAGGGUGCCCUUUGAUUAUACCAUACAGACCAAAAAGAAAAAGGACUGCUAAGUUGGGAACUUUUCUUUUUUCUUAUUCUGCUUUUUCCUUCUGGUUUUAACUGAAAAUUAUCUAGUGUCUCCUUUUCUUAUUUGUUCUUUCUUGUUGGAAGUGGUGGGGAUUAUAUAAGUAGUUACUCUAAAGGGAAGAUGAGUUAUGGCUUAUGGAUCUUUCUUGUGCUUUUUAAAUCAGAAUAUGGUUAACAAAAUAUUACUACUAUCUUUAAUUUGAGGCUACUAGUACAAUCUUUUAUUUUGAAUGCCAGCUUAGACGCGAAAUAAAAUUCAACUAGCCAUGUUCGUGGAACAGAUGAUGCUACUGCUGAUGCAACUGAGGUAAAGAACUAAAGAAACAGUUCUGGCUCAUACUGCUGGUGUAAACGAUGGAAGUGAAUCUGGUGCAAAAUUUGAAAUUCCCGGUAGUGAAUCUAAAAUUGAGCUGAGGGUCUCCUGGAAACAGUCUCUCAGCCCCCCGGGGGUAGGGGUAAGGUCAGCGUACAUAUUACUCUCCCUAGACCCCACUUGUGAGAUUUUACUGGGUUGUUGUUGUUGUUGUUGUUGAAUCUAAAAUUGCUGGUAAUGUUGAUGGGCCAAAGAAGAUAGGCAUGGGAGAUGGAAUAGUAAAGAAUAUAGCCGGACAGUUGUUGCUGGAUCGCUUGCUAAUCAGCAGCAAGCAGUGACGCAUCGAUCACCUAAAAUAGGAGAUCUCCAGGUCAGAAAUACCAGGACAUAACAUCAAAGAAUAUCGAGUUUCCUAACUUGUUUUAUGCAUUAAUCAAUGAGCAUGAUCAUGUGAAGAAUGAGGAGGAAAAGAAUGUGCAGCAAGUACUUGUGAUACAAGUUCAAAAACUGGACAUGCCACUCUCAAGUAAGUGCAACAUAUCUAACAUAUCGUGCUCAUUCUUUCAUACUGAUCUUUUGCACUACAAUUGAGAUAAAAAACAGAGACAUAAUACCAAAUAACUUAGCCAAUUCUCAUACCCCAUACCUCUAAUCAACUUUGUAUAGUUUAAAACAAGAAACAAGUUUCGCAAAAGUUUUCCAUUCAAGCAUGACAUCGUAUAUAAAAGGGAUGAGAGGUUAAGAUUGAAAAUCAAUAAAUACAGCAGACCUCACAGUAGAAUCAGUCAAUAUAUAUAGAUAGAAAUAAUUUUUGUAUUUUGUGUCAUUCUUUCACCAAAGAAAACACCAACAUCCUCAUACAUAAAAGUGUAAUCCAAAUCCUCUAGUUAUAUAGCAGCUAAAAAUUAUCAACUUUAAUUUAGGAGGAGCGAUAUUUCGUCAGUUAUAUCUGCCACUCAAUGAAACUGAUAGUACAAAAUUGACAUUCAGAAUAAACUGUUACAGAAGAUGAUUUAAUCGUAGUAGGAGAUAUAGCAGUUGCUCGUUCAAAAUACAUAUAGCUCAACAGAUGGGGAGUCAAAUCAUAAUUUAUGCUCUGGCCUCUCUCAUCCCUGCUCCCAGUUCAUACGCCUCUUCUAGUUAAAUUAUUACUCAAUUUACAUAGAAAAGGGAUGUUUUUUGAACCUUACCUUGAUGAGAAGAACCUCAAGGAUGAGCAGUUGUUGUCGAUGAAGUUGACGAGCAGCUUUGCUUGCAAAUUCGCCGAAUAUAAAUUCGCCAUAGCAGUUCUCUACUAAAUCUUUUAAAACAGUGGUUUGCGAUGGAACUUAUAGAAAAGUCAACGCUUUUUAGAUUUAUACGAAGAAGUCGAAUUCUUAGAGCUUUUUCCUUUUUUGGGAAGGGGGG